rnacentral:rRNA from 1 species
UACAGAGGGGGCAAGCGUUGUUCGGAAUUACUGGGCGUAAAGGGCUCGUAGGCGGCCAACUAAGUCAGACGUGAAAUCCCUCGGCUUAACCGGGGGAACUGCGUCUGAUACUGGUUGGCUUGAAUCCGGGAGAGGGAUGUGGAAUUCCAGGUGUAGCGGUGAAAUGCGUAGAUAUCUGGAGGAACACCGGUGGCGAAGGCGGCAUCCUGGACCGGUAUUGACGCUGAGGAGCGAAAGCCAGGGGAGCAAACGGG